rnacentral:lncRNA from 1 species
GGAUUGUGAGGAGGUAAUUGAUGCAUAAUCCAACACUUGAUCAGAGGACGCUUCUGUCGUCCAGAUGAUGUUAUCCAUCUUGCAUCUGAAUCCAUCACACAGCAGAUCUACCAACCUUUUAGUUUGAAACAAUUUGUUGAAUUUUGAAUCAUCAUAGGAUGAAACCUCAUUAAUCUUAGGACACCUUCUGACACGGUCAUCUUACCCACCUUGCACCGUGAAUGAGAAGGCAUUUCUUUCUGAUGAUGCUUCAAAGAUCUAGUUUUUGCCAUUGCCAUCUAAUUAUGCAUCCAUGUUUUUUUAUUUGUUUUUGAAUGUACAAACCAUCAUCCCCUACCGCAAUGUGUUUACUCUUGUUAGUCUCUUAUAUCUGCCUAAUGACAUUGAGCCUGUGAUGAUUAGAUACAUGUUGGAAUUACCGUCAGAUUUACAAAUGACGAUAAUUUGUCUGGCUUACUGAGGCUUCUUACCGUACCAUAUUAUAUUAUGUAUGUAUUUGUUACUAUUAUGAGUUACAAUAUAGUUAGUCCCUGUGAGGAAUCCAAGACCUACUGAUAGGAAGUGCCGUAUGACACCGUAAACAGCAGCUGUUUUACGCCUAUGCAAGUGUCCAUCUUUCGAUCAUAACCUUGGUGGUUUGGUCUGGAAUAGAGGACCCAUUUGCACAUCGGCUUGAUUCAGCUGUGUGCGUGAUUUUAAAUGGGUCUCUGAGGGAUUUGCUUAUAUACAUUGUCUCUUACGUCGUAUUUACUUUUUUGCCUUGUUGAUAUUUUGGCCUAAUGCCACGUCUCCGGUAGCUACGAGCUUUGAUCGGUGAUGCUUUGAUUAGGCCAAGACAGAUUUCUUUUGAUGUUUCACAUUUUGAUAGGAACCUGUGACUGCAUCUCUAUCGGUCUACAGAGCCGGUUUAUGUGAUUAUAUUUUAUUUGUUUCAUAUAACAGUGCCUUUUCCAUUUGUUUGUGGUUGGGCAGUGUUGUCUAAGGAGUUUUAUGUAUCUUAUAAUGGAUUGAUUAUAUGGCAGUGAUGAUAAAUUCAGGGCUUGUUUCUCAUAACAUUCGCAGUUGCCGCCUAAGAGCUUUCGCCCUGCCAGGCUUGAGAGCUAAUGCUGCUUAAUCCUUCCUUGGAUGUCUGAGCCAAGUUCUAUUUUUGUUUGAUCUGUUGUUUUUGUGCUGUGCAUUGUACAUGAUAGAAUCAAGGCCUGUUUCUCGCAACAUUCGCAGUUGCCGCCUAAGUGCUUUCGCCCUGCCUGGCUUGAGAGCUAAUGCUGCCAAAUCAUUCCUUCCUUGGAUGUUUGAUGCAUUGCAGCACCAUGCCUCUACAAAUUGACCUAUGAACUUUUUUAGAUUUAUGCUACUCAGGUUGAUAUGAGUAGUGCAUGCCUGAUGAUGAUAAAUUCAAGGCUUGUUUCUCAUAACAUUCGCAGUUGCCGCCUAAGAGCUUUCGCCUUGCCAGGCUUGAGAGCUAGUGCUGCAAAAUCCUUCCUUGGAUGUCUGACGGCAUAUCUGAACUCAUACAUUUUUUUGAUUAAAUUGUAAUUUGAAAAUGUUUUAUUAUAUGAUCAAUUUAUUUUAAUACUUAUCUGUAAAUCUGUUCUCUUGAAUUAUAGGUUCAGCUUUAGAAAGUAGAAUGGAAAGAUCUAUUUGGGAGAAGCGCUGUGGGACAAAAUUCACACGAUAGCCAUCCCCACGUGCGGCUCGUAGCUGCGGCACAACCCGUUGGUGAUCUGGCAGGCCUGCAUGACUGCAUCAAUAGAGGUUGUGCAUGUGUUAUCGAUAUGCCGUCGAAAAACUUGCAUCGAAAAACUAACAAUGUAUUAAUUAGUGUGGCACGAUAAGAGCAUGUAAAAUGAGUAAGAACUGGAAUGAUACAUUGUUGAUGAAUUGACUGGUACGUUGUUUAUAAAAAUAGUUGGAUCUUGAUUAAUUUCCUUUAUGAAUUGCAUACGGACCGUGGUGUGAUUAUGUUCAUCCUCUGUGCGUCAAAGGAGUACCAAGUUUAGUUCGUCACUUCCAAUAAACUUCGUUGUUAAUACAUAAUUAAUGUUUGAAAGAGCUUUAUUUUUCCUUUUAAUGCGUGGGAGAGGCAUUGUAACAUGCUAACUAUGUGCAUAACCUGAGACAGGAACCAUCAAAUACAGUGAUGUCACCUAACAAAACAUAGACAUAAUGUUUCUAAUCAAUCCAGAACCGUCUAAGUGAAUCAAUCCAACCGGUAGGACACCUCAUUGCGUCACUGUCGCCGUGUGCUCCAUGAAGCCCGGGCAUUUAGAUUUGCCGCAAUCACUCCUAUCGUCGUGGCGACAGUGCCCAUCGUCCCACAAUAACUUUUAUUAACUGUUUUCGUUGUCUAACGUUAUUUGAAAUUUUGUUAAUCCAAACGGAAAUACUCUUACCGAUGCGUUAGCCAAAACAUCGCACCACCUAAGUCUUCUGUUCAUCCAUGACUACCAUCUGCCCCACCCUAGAACAGACGAAUGCCUGAAUGCCUUCACCAGCAAGCUAGGGCAGUGCAACAAACAUAUGCUGGGUUGAACAGCGAGGCAUCAUGUAUUUCUUUGAAAUCAUUCAGUAGUUCAUUGAAUUUCACUUAGUUCUUGUGUGGAUUUUCCUCCCCUAUUCGUGACCAGUAACAACGGAAGAUUUAUGUUACAGAGUUGCAGGGCAAUGGAUCCAGGCACCUUCAAUCCAUGUGUUACUCUUGACUCACUAUACAUCUUGCCAUUGGUUCGAUCUCUUCUCCCUUCCCCUUCAUUCUUUGAUUUAGUUUUCAAAGAUUAGCAGAAGUUGUAUUUGAUUACAACAGUUUUUUUGCCAGGAGGCGUUCAACUGAAUACCGCUCAAGCCAUGUGAUAAUCACUCCUCAAUCCAACUUCCAUCGUAGGUGGUUUACGCAUGAACAUAUUUUAGUGGUUGCAGUAUGGUGUUAUUAGAACAUUUUUUUAUUAAAAUGAUAUUGUGUGUAUAAAUAUAUAUGUAGAAACAUGUAAUUGUGGAACCAUUCUCAUAAUUAGCUAUAGUGCAGCCAACUGUUUUGGAUCUUGUAAAUCAUAUUGUUCAAUUUGCAUGCUGCCGAGUUGCCAACAAAUUAUUCAAUCUAUAUACAUAAUGUCUUAACUGUGAAAUUUUCGGACAAGGCAAAAAAUACAGCUGAUGCAAGUUUAGCGGAUUUUGGAGGUUAUAUUCUUCAGCUCAAAAGAACAUUUUGCUGCCGAAUUGCCAACAAAUUAUUCAAUCUAUAUACAUAAUGUCUUAAUUGUGAAAUUUUCGGACAAGGCAAAAAAAGAACCUUGUGCUUAUGUACUUUCAAGGAUUCAGUUACUAGAUAUAGCAUCUAAAUGUGUAAAAAUUACUGCUUCGUUUACAAGCAAUUAGAUUGUUAGUCAUUGUUUGCAACUGAAAAAGAUAUCUAAAAGUCAAGAUUGUUCUGAUAUUCCGAUGUAUCCUAAUUAGGUACAUUCACAUCACUUUCUCUCAUGCACAUGGGUUUCUUGAUAAAAAUAUUAACAUACUGAAUUUCAUUUUUGUUCAAUUGAAUCAUGUGGUCAGAGCGAGGUAUCAUACAAUAGAUUUAGCGGUUAUCGACUAAUAGAUGUGUUCAUGGGCUUUAGCUGAGUUUCUGUAAUACUGACUGCUGCAUUGUGCAUGGAAGGACCAAAUUUAUGUGUUAUCAUAUCUAUACAUCUUCUACAUAUUUAUAUAGAAAAUAUAUUUUAUUGAUGUACGCACAUUCUGAUUCUGUUCUGGUUGACAGUUUUUAGCUGAAACCAUUGAUGAAUUGGGAAACAUUUGCUUCAUCUUGAGAAUUUCUUCACCGAGAAUUUGGUAAGUACAUAUGUUUAGUAUGUUACGGUUUUUAUUUGAAGCAUUUUUUUGAAAAUUUCUUGUACUAAUUUUUUUCCAGGUUUGAGAUUGUAUAUUUACCAAUUUGUAAAAAAAAAAAUCUAUAUUUGGUACCUUUUCCGGUUUUGUGAUUUUAUAUCAUGUGUAAAUGUGAAAUCCUAAAGAGCUAACCUACUACACAUAAUUCUUCAAUGUGAGUGUGUAUAUAUGUUGUGUGAUAUAUAUGAUGAGAGACAUAAAAACAUUUAUUGUGGCUUAUAAUGUGCGAAACAUGCCUUACAUGUGCACGAUUACCAGUAACAGGCAACCGAGCAAUAGUAGAAGACUAAACAUCCAUUAAAUGCCACUGGUCUUUGCUUUUGAAAAUUUUUAACUGGAACAAUUAUAGGAUUCUCAUUGUAACAUGUUAAGACCCCAUUUGAAUCAAAGUAAAUUUAUAAGAAUUUUAGAGGAUUUCAUUCCUAUAGAAAAUUUUCCUACAAAGCUUUUUAAUCAAAGGAAUGAACCCUAUGAAAUCCUAUGAAAUUCCUAUGAAAUGCCUCUUUCUAUACAAGUUUUUCCUAUACAAGUUUUGGAGGAAAUUUAGGCCCCUUUGAUUCAAAGGAAUUUUAGAGGAUUUUAUUCCACAAAGCUCUUUGAAUCAAAGGAAUGAAUCCUAUAAAAUUCCUAUGAAAUACAUCUUCCUAUAUAAGUUUUAGAGGAAAUUUAACAAAAGGUAAAAUCUCAUGAAAAAAAUCCUUUGAGUCUUUAUCUCUCCUCAAAUUUCUAUGUUUUUCCUGUGGUCCAAUCAAACGGCAGGCUAUUCCUACGUUUUUCUGUGUUUUGCAAUCCUCUGUUUUACACUUACAUUUCUCUCAGAAUCCUAUGUUUUUCCUAUUCCUCCAUUUUUUAUUCCUGUGAUUCAAAAGGGCCCUAAAAUCCUAUGAAAUUCCUAUGGAACGUCUCUUCCCAAACAAGUUUUGGAGAAAAUUUAACGAGAGGUAGAACCUUGUGAAAAAAUCCUUUUGAGUCUUUAUCUCUCCUCAAAUUCUUGUGGUCCAAUCAAACGGUCAUUCCUACGUUUUUCUUGUGUUUUGCAAUCCUCGGUUUUGCAUUUACAUUCCUGUCAGAAUCCUUUGUUUUUUCUAUUCCUCUGUUUUUUCAUUCCUGUGAUUCAAAGGGACCUUGAAAUCCUAUGGAAUUCCUAUGGAAUGCCUCUUCCCAUCUAAGUUUUGAAGAAAAUUUAACAAGAGGUAAAACCUCAUAAAAAAAAUCCUUUGAGUCUGUAUCUCCUGAAAUUUCUGUGUUUUUUCUGUGAUAGAAAUUCUCACUUUAGUAAAUUAUAGCACCAUAUGCAUUAAUAUUCUUAGCCCAUGUUACCUUUAGGAAUCUUCAGCCCAAAAUAAUAAGCUAACAUAAUCUGAACAUCCAUCAUAAUCCUAUACUGGAAAAAACAUAUGACCUUUGUUUUAACAUGUAUCUUCAUUUUUUAAAUUAAUUUGAAGUCUACAUGCUUUAGAAGGAAAACCACCGUAAUGAUCACGGAGGAACAUGCAACAUCUCACCGUGAUGGUGACAAGGAGCAUCAAACAACUACAUGAGGUAAGCAAAACAAAAUUCCAUACUUCAAAGAUUCUGUAAAUUAAAGCACCUAAUUCUAAAACAGUACGACAGAUAUAUCUUUAUCUUUGUACUCAGAGUAGCUCGGAUUCUACUUUGAGGAAUUGGAGCUGUCCAAAUUCAGACCCAAAACACUGAAUCUAUCAAGAACAACGUAUGUACUAAAUCAAGAACUGGAACAUGGCGCGGUCACCAGAAGCAUUAGCCAAAACCCUAUAAUAGAAAGAGAAAAGGAGAAAGGAGAAUAAAGGCUGACCUCAGAUCUCGAAGAUGAAGGUGUGGAGGAGGAGGCCGUCAUGAGAAAGAACGCGGUGGCCAGGGAGCAGAAGAUCUCGCUGGGGAAAAGAGGCUCAGAUUGGGAUCAUCUGCCAUCACAGCACUGUGCCUUUGUCACUCAUAGGUGGACCUCACAAACCCUGGCUCACAUGUCAGUAACAAAGGCAUGGUGCUUUUGCCUGCAGAGGAACCUGAUCCUGUGUGGGAGGGGAGGCGGUGGAGAAAAUUGCACAUCUAUCGUUAAGUCAGAGAGGAUUCGCUAGUAUACCUAUUUAAAUGGGCUUUCCACGAAUGCCAUUUACACCCUAGUUUAGUUUGUUACUUUGCUAUUUUCCUCAAUUCAGGGACCUAAAAAUUCUCUUUUGUCUAAUUUACUAUUUUUUCUUCUGAUACUGCUACUGACCUUCUUCCUAUUCUGUUGCCAUUCCCAAUCUCUUCUAGCGCCGAUCGCCGGAGCCACCCAUCGCCGCAAUCGGCCCCUCACUGUGUGCUGCCUCAACCCUUUCCCACAACUCUAGGGUUUGGGUCAAGGGAUAUCCUCCUCCUCGUUGUCGUCGUUGUGGGAUUCAGACUUCAGCAAGAGCUGGUGCACGUCGGCCAUGUGGGGGACAGGGUGUUUGCCCCUAAGGGAGCUGGAUGCUGUGGCAAGGGUGUACUGCGAGGGGAUGACGAUGGCGAGGCUCAAGACGGGGGUCCCUGCUUGCCAUCCUCGUGGCCAGCACCAUUGGCAUCUACCUCGCCGUGGCACCAUGCUCGCCAAUUGCGCUCGUCGACGUGCUCCUCGACACUCAGGCAGCGCUCGCCGACUACGUCAUCGCCACAUGCUGGUCAUGGUGGGACUUCCCCUUCGUGGGGCUCUUCUCUGCCGUGGGGGUUGUUAACGCCAUAAUUUGGAUAAUUGCCAUUGGAUAUUAAACUGUGAUUAAAGACCAAAUCAGAUAUGAAACAUGGCAAUCAGAUAGAAGAUCAGACGGAAUACAACUUGGAUUCAGUCGAUGGAGUCUGGAUCGGAUAAGAAAUAUAGUCCGAUUAAGCCUAGAAUGUUACAGAUAGAUUCGGGAAUAAUCAGAGUCUGGAUCGGAUAAUUUAAUUUUAUUUUCUAAUUAGAGUUAGUUUAGAUUAUCUUUAAGAGAAUUAAAGUCUGAUCAGGACUUGAGAUAGAGUCUACAUAGGAGUUUGUUAUUUCUUUUUAUCUAUUAGGAGUCGUAUGUUGUGUUUAACACAAACUACUAUCCUCCUGAGGGUAUAAAUAUGUAUGCACGAGAUAAUUGUAAAUCAUCUGCAUCAUAAUUUAGAUCAACUACUCUCGACGCAUCGCCACCCUCCUUCCCAAGGUUUUAAUUCCGGCGAAACUUGAUACCUGACGCGGGGCUGCAUCAUCUCAAUCUUCGGCGGAAGGGUAAGUCCUACAUUCUGUCGGCCAAGGUAAUUAUAUUAUGUAAGCGCCACUCACAACGGGUGUGAUUAAUCCUAUCUGACCGCAUCAUGUGAGCUUGAUAACAUAGACAAUGUAAUAAGGUGGCUUGAUAAAAAUGAUGUAAAUGAGUUGCUCAUCAAUAUGAGAAUGAAAAUUCCAGCUUGAUAACAUUAUACAAUGUAAUAAGGUGGCUUGACAAAAAUGAUGUAAUUUAGUUGCUCAUCAAUAUGAGAAUGAAAACUGCAGCUAACAAAAUGAUCUGGAGCGGUACAUUUUUUAUGAAGUGACGUGCCUUGCAGUGCCAUGCUGGAUAGUGUGCAAGUAUUGUAUAUAAAAAUAUGUGUAUCUUGAUUAGUUAACUGUGAUUAUCUUUAUCCUCUGCAAUUAGUUCGUGAUCGAAAGUUACAGCCAGUACUCGGCGUAUCUCCAUUUCUGCAUCGUGCCCGUCAUCCUGGUGCUCUCAAUGGCUGUGGUGUCAUGUGCUUUGCUGACGUGGCUACGGCACGCAUUGACUUUGUAAUUGUUUUCGUUGUACUGUCUGUGUUUGUGGCGUUGCGAACAGCCCAGAAUAUUUGUUUGGUUACAUACUGUAUAUAUCGAGUUUUGUCACCCGGCCAAGCAUUGCCUAGAUUUCUGGAAACGCUGAGCAGGAUGUGUUAUAAAAUAUCUGGAGUAUCUCAUUCAUCCAAUUAAUAGAUCUCUAAUGACUUGACGAUGAAUAAGAAGAUUGACCUCAUUCCCCUUUAUCUGUCGUAGUUCCUAACCUUACCAAGUUAUCAACCUAUUUCUCUGACUUGGAAGUACUCCGUUCGUCGUUCUUCCUACAAUUUCUAACUUAAAUACGUCUAACUUAAAAUACGUCUUCCAAAAUUUUCUUACAUCAAACUUGUACAAAUUUAUAAUUUAUAAUUCACCCUAAUUCAGAUUUGCACACCACUCAUUUCGUCACUUCCAAUAAAUUUGUUGCUCAUGCCCGACUUUUGUGUUGCUAAUCCAGGAGAAAAAAAAUGAUAUGUUUAUGUAUAAAGUAAUAUUUGGGAGUGCUUUUUUCCCAGCUAGAUGCUCUCUUUCUUUUUUCCGAAUCUAGGAGAGAGGUUAAGACCAUGCACAGUGCAGUGACAUGGCAAAGAGCCUCAGCCCUCCACGUCCUAUAUUCCUCUCUAGCUCAGAUGAAUGCGUGCCCCAACCGAGCUCCUCGUGCCCUCUGCAAGGAACACAUUCAUCGUCAGACUUUUUGGAAAAGCUAGGACUUCUUCAGAGAAGCCGCCCCCGUCCGCCGAGCUGUUCGACGAGGUGAGGGAAAGCCGAGAUGUGCCUGACAAGGUGAGGGAAAGCGCCUGGCCCUCGAGCUCCUCCGCUGCCGCCGGGAUACGCCGUGCCUCCGAUGUGUGUCGUCGGCCGUGACGUGCCGCCGCCGAGCCACUGCCAGCCUCCGUCGCCGAGCUAUGCCGCCAGCCUCCGAUGUGCCGCCGCAGGGACAACUGGGAGAGGGAGAUCGAGGAGAGAAGAGAGAUAAGGGAGAGAAGAGAGAUAGAAAAGUAAAGUAGUAGUAGUAAAAAUAAAGUGUAUAGUUUUUGUAGGACCCCACCUAGAGCCCCGUGCACUAUGGUAUAAGUGUCUUAUGUAUAGCCUUGUUCUACGUGGCAUGUUUUUUUCGUCUGGGGGUGCUCACUCGAGGAGCUCUCACUGUGCAUGCCCUAAAGAGAACUUCAAGGAAAAUAUAGUGACCAGGGUUCCCUUUACUGUCCCUCCCGCGGCACGGCGGACGCGCGGUAACCGCGACAGCCGCAGAAACCGCGACAAAUUUAAAACAAAAAAUUUGAAUUCAAAUCUUGCGGUAAAGGAGGCUUCCCGUGCAGUUUCGCAUGGUUACCGCGCGGUAACCGCGGCUUGUAUAAGCCAAUCGAUGUUAAAUGCAACAUAAAUUAAAAAAAUCUGAAAAACAUGAAAAAUAGGGGAAAAAGCAGGGAAAAUAGGAAAAAAAAUAGAAAAAUAGCUAUAUUUGUGACAUUGAGGACAUAACGAUAUGUACUAGGAAAAAAAAGAAAAUUUUAUCGUGACUUUUUCUAAAUUCUUCACGUUGCAACCAUUAUAGAGACGACACUUGAUAUUUCACAAUAAUCACACAACAUAAUACAUAUUUGCCUACUAUUUUCAAUUACAUACAUAACUAUUAAAACAAUAAUCUGCCUAAAACAAUUCACACAAUCUAUAUAUAUGUCACAUAAUUACUGAAACAUUCAUUUCUAAUUUUGCGUCACAUAAUUACAUAAUACUUAUUAUCUAUGUAUGUAUCUAUGUAUGUAUGUAUCUUUUAUCUAUUAUUAUAAUAUAAAGACGACCCGAAAAGAAGUCUCCAUGUUCGCUCUGGGGCCUAAAAAUUACCACGUUAAUCGAAGAAAAAGAAAAAAAAAUAUGAACCGUUAGAUCAUGGUGGGUCCAUAUUAUAACGGUGCAGAAAUUCUAAGAUUAGUUAAAAAAAUAAAAGGAAAGAAAUAUAUUUUUAAUCAUGCAAGGAAAGAGAAGAUAAGGUUUUAGGUUUCUAUAAGAGAGAAAAAAGAGAAAAGAGCAGAUUUUUUAAAUCGGCCGAAACGCGUGUAACAUCGAGAGAAAAGAAAAGAAUAGAUCAACUUUUUUUUGAUCGGACAGAUUGGACAAAAACAUGUGUAACAACUAGAGAAAAAAAACAGUUUUUAGUCGGACAUAUGAGAUUAAUUAACGUUUUAGACCGAUGAUUAUGGAAAAUCUAUCUAUUAAUUAUAUUAUAUACAUAUAAAGUAAUAGGAAAAUCCCAUAUUAAUUUAAAAAAGAUAAGAGAAUAAAAAAUAUAAUGGUUUUAUGGAUCGGACAAAGAAGUUUUUUUAGGAGAAAAAAUAACUUGAUCUUUUUGAAAAUUUUAGUUUUUUUAGAAUAAAAAAAGAUAGAUAAUAUUUUUUCUUUCACUCCGUGGUUUAGAAAUUACCAUAUUAAUAAUAAAAAACAAAAAUAAUAUGAACUAGUGGGUCUAGAUUAUAACCGUGUAAGAUUUAUCGGAGACUAGAAAUUACCAUAUAAAUCAGAGAAAAAAGAAAAAUAUGCAGCAUUAGAUUAUGGUGGGUUAAGAUUAUAACGGAGCUAGAGGACAAAAAGAAUAGAUCAGUUCUUUUUUUUUUUUAUCGGACAAAUCGGACAAAAACAUGUGUAACAGCUAGAGAAAAAAAUCAGUUUUUUUUAUCGGACAUAUGAGAUUAAUUAACAGUUUUAGACCAAUGAUUACGAAAAUCUAUCUAUCUAUUAUUAUAUAUAAAAAGUAAUAGAAAAAGAAACACAACAUUUACUCUCACGGACUAUGAAAUCCCAUAUUAAUUAAAAAUAAGAGAAUAAAAAAAUAAUGCUUUUAUGGAUUGGACAAUGAGUUUUUUUUAGGAGAAAAAAUAACAUGAUUUUUUUUGAUAAAAAAGAACGUGAUUUUUGGUUUUUACAAUAAAAAAGGAUAUAUAAUGUUUUUCUUUCACUCUAGGAUCUAAAAAUUGUCAUGUUAACCAGACAAAAACAAAAACAAAAAAACCGUUAGAUUAUGAUGGGUCCAAAUUAUAACAUUGUAAAUUAAUAGGAGAUUAAAAAUUACCACGUUAAUCAUAUAAAAAGAAAAAAUAUGCACUGUUAUAUCACGAUGAUUUCAUAUUAUAACGGUGGAGAUUAAUCGGAAAAAAGAAAAAAAUCUACACAAUUAGAUCAUAAUAUAUAUAGAUCAAAAUAAAAAAAAUUUAAUGAUAGAUACAAAGAUUUAUUAAUUGGUAUCGUUUUAUGUUUCCGGACUCAACCAAAAGAAAGGCAAGACAGGGUAGUGUUUUUUUUUUUAUCGGACUCAACCAAGAUAAAAGUAACGGAAAUUCCAGCCACACAAGCCAUAGUUGAUAGUAGCGGGCAAACAACAAAAUAAAUAUCAAGUUCUUUGCGUUUGAUGAUUUUUUUACCAAAAGUCAUCUAAUUAAAUAUUAGUAAAAAUUCCAAAUAUUAUUUUUAUAACUAAUAUUAUUUUAUUACCAUGUUUGGUGGCCCGCGCAAUUAUGAUCAUUUACUAUACUAAACUUAGAUUAAUUUUAUUUAGAACAAAUACAUAGUGAAUGAGUUUAAGGAGCGGUAGUUCACAAGCUCUCACGUGUAGCUAUGGUUCAAAGCAUGUGUCACACCAUAGCACAAUUAAUAUAUGCUUAAAUAAUCAAAAAAAUAAAUAUUAAAUAGAAUUAUACUGAAAUAGAAAACAAGAUAAGUAAACAAACACAUAUUUAGAGUUUAAAGAAGAAAUAAAAUUGGAGUAAAACAUCAACUAAUUUAAAUCUAGCCGUGCAAAUGCAUGGGCCAACAACCAAAAAAAGGCUCCACGUUCGCUAUGGGGCCUAGAAAUUCCCACAUUUCGGAGAAAAAGAAAAAAUAUGCACUAUUAGAUCACGGUGUGCUCAUAUUAUAACGGUGUAGAUUAAUCGGAGAAAAAAAUAAAAUAUGCACUGUUAGACCAUGACGGGUCCAGAUUAUAAUGGUGCAGAUUAAUUGGAGAAAAUGAUAAAAUAUGUACCAUUAGAUCAUGGUGGAUUCCGCGUAUAUAUAUCUCUUACCCAGAAAAAAGAACAAAAUCAUUUAUCGUUGCAGCGUAUAUAUCUGUACGGAAAAAAACAAAAUCAUUGAUGGUUGCCGCGUAUAUCUGAUCUGUUACUCGGGAAAAAAAGAAAAUAAAAUCAUUGAGAGUCGAAGGUAUGUACAGCUUAAUAUUUAUUUUUAAUUUAAUAAAUUUUAUGAUAACUGAAACUAAAGAGUCCAUGUUAUCUUAAGCGACAGGUUUUAUUUUACGUGAACUUUUAAUCUCGAUAUGAUCUACAGUUAUGGUAAUACAAUCCUUCUAAUCAAAAGCCACACAACUUUUUGUUGACGUGGUAACUUAUUUAGAAAAUUAAAUAUUAUGUGGAAAAAUCUAUGCCGUUAGAUCCUAGUAAGUCUAGAUUUUUGGUGUACAUUAAUUCAAAUAUAUAUAGAAACAUAAUCAUAUUUGGAGAUAUUGGGAAAAAAAUUAUGGGAACCCUCUCAAUUUGACUACAUAUAUGGAAUCGGACUCUUCCUCUGUUCAAACAACAACCGUGAUAGACUUUAGAUUUUAAUGUCACCGUAACACUCAAUUAUAACGGGGUAGAUUAAUGGAAGAAAAAGAAAAAAAUAUGCAGCCUUAGAUUAUGGUGGAUAAAAAGAAAAAAUAUAUAGCGUUAAAUAACGGUGGAUUCCACGUAUAUCUCUGUUACUCAGGAAAAAAAACAAAUUCAUUGAUGGUUGCCGCGUAUAUCUCUGUUACUCCGGGAAAAAAAAAGAAAAUAAAAUCAUUGAGAGUCGAAGGUAUGUACAGCUUAAUAUUUAUUUUUAAUUUAAUAAAUUUUAUGAUAACUGAAACUAAAGAGUCCAUGUUAUCUUAAGCGACAGGUUUUAUUUAACAUGAACUUUUAAUCUCAAUAUGAUCUACAGUUAUGGCAAUACAAUCCAUCUAAUCAAAAGCCACACAACUUUUUGUUGACGUGGUAACUUUUUUAGAAAAUUAAAUAUUAUGUGAAAAAAUCAGUGCCAUUAGAUCAUGGUAAGUCUAGAUUUUAACGGUGUAGAUUAAUUAAAAUAUAUGUAAGAAAUAGAAUCAUAUUUGGAGAUAUUGGAAAAAAAUUACGGGAACCCUCUCAGUUUGGCUACAUAUAUGGAAUCGGCCUCUUACUCUGAUCGAGCAUUCCCAACCCAAUUACUAGAAUGAUGUCCAUAAUAUUAAAUAAGUUGUCAUCUAGAAUGAAAGAUGAUGUGGCAAGUAAAUAAAUGAAGAAAGAGAAUGAAACCAUGUCUUACAUGAGAUAUGAUUUCUACACAACAUUCAAGAUAUCAUGUGAGAUAAGUAGCAUUAAAUUGAAGUAUGAAAUAGUGAUGUUUGCAUUAGAAAAGUAGUGUCUAGUACUAGUUUCUUGAUGAUGUUGAGUUUAUGGAAACUACAUGUAGUGUUAUGGGCUAGGAAUGCCCUGUGAUAAGCUUCAGAUUUUAAUGGCCUAGAUUUACUGAAAAAAAAAAGGAAAUCAUUGAUCCUUGCCCGGCUGUUUGUCAAAUCAUUGAUCCUUGCCCGGUUGAAGAUAUAUUUAUUCAUCCGCGUAACUAGUUAGCUUUGGAGGCUAUACGUUAAUAGAAGAAAAAGAAAAAAAAUCUACAUCGCUGGAUUACAAUAUAUCUUGAUUACAUGGUCCAGAUUUACUAUAUAAAGGGAAAGCAAAUAGAUCAUAUGGAUUAAAUAGCAGAUAAAAUCAAAUAAGCCACUAUUUUCAAUAGGUAUUGUUCUCGGACUCCACUAAGGCAACGAAUUAAAAAAUUACCGACAUUUGCCCAUGUCAUGGCAGUUAAAAUUUUUUCCUAACAUUAAUUUGUCUAUGAUUCUCUUUGGAGAAAUGCCGAGCACCAAAGAAGCAAUCGGCUUAUCGCUACAACACAACUACAAUCAACAUCUAAAAACAAUCAAAUCAGUGAAUAAGAAGAACAAGCACGGUUUGCAUGUUGGGACAGGCAAAGCAACAUGACAAUUCAUUUUUCCGUUCUUCUUUUUCGCCACAGGUUUUAGUAUGCUAUGUCAUCCUUUUCUUUAUAUAUGCAUAUGUUUAGACCAACAUUAGAUUUAGAGAAAAUACAAUUCUGUACCACUGACUUUAGCCCAAUUCAUCAAUUUGUCACUAAGUUUGUUUGGUUCUACAAUAUGCCAUCGGUUUUUGUUAACUUCUACGAUUUACCAUCGCCGUCCAGUUAUCCUCCGUUAGCACUAUUUAUUUUUGUUAUAAUGGCCAAAAUAUCCUUUGGUCAAAAACUAUCAAAGUCGGUGGCAAAAUAUUGAAGUGUGGCAGCGGAGGCGGCGACGCGGACGGACGGCGGCGACAGGCGUCCGACAGCGAGAUCGAUCGACGGCAGCGAGGAAGCGGCAGCGCACGGGCGGAGAAAAGGUGGCGGCGGCGCGGGGCGGCGCGGCGCGNNNNNNNNNNNNNNNNNNNNNNNNNNNNNNNNNNNNNNNNNNNNNNNNNNNNNNNNNNNNNNNNNNNNNNNNNNNNNNNNNNNNNNNNNNNNNNNNNNNNNNNNNNNNNNNNNNNNNNNNNNNNNNNNNNNNNNNNNNNNNNNNNNNNNNNNNNNNNNNNNNNNNNNNNNNNNNNNNNNNNNNNNNNNNNNNNNNNNNNNNNNNNNNNNNNNNNNNNNNNNNNNNNNNNNNNNNNNNNNNNNNCGGGGCGAACGGCCAGCCCACGUGGGAGGGAGGAGGGCGCGGAGAGGAGAGGGGGAGGCCGGUCGGCUGGGCUGGCCGAGCAGGAGAAGAUGGGCCGGCUCGGCUGGGCUGGCCCGGGAGGAAAGAAGGGAGGAGAAGGAAAGAAAGGAAGAAAAAGAGAAAGGGGAGGAAAAUUGGACUUCGGCCCAAUUUGAGGAGGAAGGGAAAAAGAAAGAAAAAGGAGGGAAAAAGAAAAGCCCCACUUUUGCUCAGUUUUAAAUUAAGUUGUUUGGCAAAAUUUUAUACUUCUUCAAUUCGCGUUUAAAUCGAGCGAACUUCAAUUUAAUUAAAUUACCUUCUUUAGAGAGAUUUUUCCUGAGUUAAUUAAGCCAAUUAUUAUUUACGAAUAUGUUUUACGAAUUUAGGCUUAGGAUAAAACUCCGGGUGUGACACGUACCACCCAUACAGGCCAUAGUAGCGGGCAAACGGCAAAACAAAUAUCACAUCGUUUGAUGAUUAUUUUUUUUACGAAAAGUCAUCCGAUCAAAUAUUAGUAAAAAUUCUGAACAUUAUUUUUACGUAAGGAAUGUCUAUACGAUUAUGCUACGAGAAUCCUAAAAGAAGGUUCCACGUUAGCUCUAUAGCCUACAAAUUUCCACAUUAAUAGAAGAAAAAAAGAAAAAAAUCUACAUUGUUACAUCAUAAUAUAUAUAGGUUGUAAGGUCUAAGGUCUAGAUUUGCUAUAAAAAAAAUCUACACCAUGAAAUUAUAAUAUAUCUAGAUAAAAAAAAAUUAACCAGAUGGACUGUCUUAAGGCUCGCUACCAAAAGCAGCUCCGAAGCGUCUCACUCGCAGUCCAUGCCCGCUGGCCGAUCCGCAGUUUGCAAUAAACGGAUCUGACCCUAAGAGCGACCCUAGGAGCACCUCUCAAGAUAUAUUGUACGGAUUGCGGACGCCAAGCAUUAACAUAUGGAUUUGAUUAAUGUGUGCAUACGUAUAUGCAUAUAUGGUGGAUAUAGGGCAGUCAUUCAUCUUUCCUUUUGCUGUGCCGUAUAUUGGAACGAGCGAGCUUGCUCGGUUUUGCUAGCAUGAUGAGUGAUAAGAAAAGUAUACUAGUUAUUUCACAUUAAACAAAAAAAAAACAAACAUUUAGAUUAUAACGGAUGCAGCUUAUAACAAAAUAUCUGGAAUGUUACGAUUUGGAUAAAGUUAUAUGUUUACGGUGCCGGACUGGCAUGCUGAAUUUAUUUUUUUAUAAUGUAAGAUGUUUAAUUUUUUUGGUUCUGAUGUUUGACCAUUUGUCUUAUUCAAAAAAUUAUGAAAAUAACAUUUAUUUUGCUGGUGAUUUACUUUAUUAUCAAAAUAACUUUAAGCAUGACUUGUUAUUUUUUAUAUUUAUACUAAAUUUUUAUAUAAGACGUAGUCAAACGUUGCAACUAAAAAAUCUAGCAUCUCACGUUAUGAAAUUAGUAAGUAUUGUAUACAUCUUGAUUAAUUUCCUUUAUGAAUAGCAUACUGACCGUGAUGUGAUUAUGUUCAUCCUGUGUGCAAUUCGUUCGUGAAUCGUGAUCGAGUUUUGAAUUUGGUGACCGUCUCCUUUUUUGCAUCGUGCCGUCCUGGUUGCUCCUACGUCGUGUUCGCUCUCGCUUGCUGCUGUGUUAAUGGCUGUCGUUUUGUUAUGUGCUUUUGAUUCUCUACUCCGCUACAGCACGCAAUGGAUUUGUAAUUGUCAAUCUGUUGUGCCUUUUGUGGCUUUGCAAACAGCCCAGAAUAUUUGUUUGGUUACAUACUGUAGCUGUAUCUAGUUCUGUCACCCGACGAAACAGGAUCUGCUGAUAUAACUGUGCUUGUACAAUUAUCGUUUGUCAUUCUACAAUUUCUUACAUGCUGGGUGCAAGGGACCUCUUCAGGGAGACAGGGACAACUGUUUAAGAGUGAGUACAAAGAGCAGCAGCAGUGGUGGUGAGUGAAAGAAAAAAUAAAUAUCAAGCCACUUCUAUUAGCUCUACUUUAAUAACAUGCUAAUGAUAUUUUUUUAACAAAAUUUUGAAUACAACGUAUGGCUAAUAUGCUAGUUUACAAUCAUUUGGACGGAAAAACUAGAUCAUAUGAAGCUCAAGCUCCAAGUGUUGUUCGACUAUCAGAAUAAUACAUGAUACGGUAAAAAAACAAAAUGCCGGUUCCAUCAUCCUAGUGCAGCACAAUGCAAACAUCUCUCAAAGAUAAACAUGAGUAUAACAGGACGAUAAUUAUUGAGAAUAUAUAAUAUAUAUAUAUAUAUAUAUAUAAAAGCCGAAGAACCUAAAAGUUCUUUUCAAGAUAAAAUAAAAACACUAAAACGCGACCAGAAGUAAUACUAUUAUCAUCAUGGUUUCGUGGGCAGGAUCCACAAUGCUCGGUCAAACACCGGAGCUUCGUCGAUAUUGUUUUUUUUUUUUUUGGCUCAUUCGUCGAUAUUGUUAACCUUAGAUGUCCCAUCUUUUAUGUUGUAUAUCUUGUAACACUGGCACUGCUCAUUCUCACGGGGGCAUGCCAGGUAGACGCAGUUCGGCUCAAGCCCAUGCUUCUCAGCAGAGUAGCAAGCACCAAAAUACCAUGGAGACACGAGGAACGCGCGAUCCCCGAGCUCUUCGACUCUGCUCCACCGCUGUCGCGAGAAAUCCAUCUGGUAGACCCUGACCUCGUAGAUGGUCUUCAGGUCGAAUCCAAACAGCGUGCAGGCCAGGUAGAGUUCAUCGUCGGCCUCCACGAGAUAAAUAUGCGCGCAGUUCAUGUACCCGAAGAACCCAUCGAUAACGUCACUUAUUGCGAUCUUGCUGAAGACGGGCUCAGGGCAGAACUCAAGCACAGCCAGCUCCUUGGCGGUGCCGUUGAAGAAGAACUUGCCCUGGCAAGCUGCUAUGGGGCAGAUGGGCAAUUUUUCGUCGACGGUCUUGUCCUCGUAGAAACAAGGUGUGCGUCCCAAUGUCGUACUCGUGCCUCGUCCACUCCUCGUCUCCGACGUGACAGUACCACAGCACAGGGGCGACGGGCUCAACGAGAAGCACGAGACACCCGGGAUGAGACGGCUUGCCGGAGAGGAGGCAGGUGCUGAACCUUGACAAGGUCUUUGGUAGGUGCGGCAGCUGAAUCCGGUGGCCAAAGUUGAGGGGAUCGAGCAGAAAGGUGGACAUGGAAGUGGUGGCAUCAUGCACUACCAUCCAGCCCUGCUGCGUCGCAAAGACACUGCUGUUCUUCAUCAGCUUGGCCAUCUCUUCGCAGGCGAUCGUCUUCUUCUCCACCAUGCUGAAGAGUGUCACCGGCUUAUCUGAAUCUACCCGAUCCCUCAGGGCGAGGCAGGGCAGAGGAACGGGCAGCACGCGGCUCGACGUAUCCAUCUAAUCCCAAGAUUCUGCGACGUUACUUUAGCGAGGAAGUGUCUAAUUCCUGGCUUAAUCGAUGGAGGAACCACUCUCCCACGGCAUGAUUAAGAGCAAGUAUAAUAGCAUGCUAUAAGCUGGCUAUAUGCUUAUGUGGAGGAGAGAUGUGAUAAGAGAGUGUAAGCAGGCUGUAAGCUUGUAGCCAGCUUGAGCAUAUGAACCAAGAAACUUUGUGAGAGUAACAUGUGAGUCCUGUAUUGAUAAUGAAGAGCUAACUAGUAUAUGGAUGAGUAAAAAAGACUAUAAAAACCUUAUAGCCAGCUUGUUAUUAGCCUUGCUCUAAAUAGACGCAGGAAUCAUACCUGGUAGAAUUCGAGUCGGAGUCAGGGUAAAUUCCUCCCUGAUACGCGUUCGUUCCCGGGGAAACCACCCGAAUACAAUGAAAAUCAGGGAUUAGGAGAUCUAUUAUUAAUCGGAUUCCUCAUGAAGACAUCGUCAAUUUAUGAGCCUAGCUGGCUAGCGCGUUGUGCGCUUGUCUGUGCUCGAAGCCGUGCAACCCGCAUAUGAGAUUUUUUGUUUUCUUCAUUCCUACACAGAAUAUAUUCUUUUGCUUGUUUUUCUACACAAUAUUGUUGUAUUUUCUUGUUUGUUUUUCUACACAAUAUGAAACUUAGUUUUCUGUGUUUUUCUACCCAAUCUUAAAUUUCUUUGAAUUUUCUCUACACGACCGUCUUCUUCUCCGAGAUGCUGAACAGUGUCGCCGGCUUGCCGUAAUCUACGCCGUCCUUUGGCGCGAGGCAGGGAAGAGGAACGCUCGACGAAUCCAUCUGAUUAUCUGAUUGCAAACUCGUGUGUAACUAAUAAUCUCGGGUCGGAGUACGAUGGGAGUCUGUUGCUGCCGAUCUAAAACCAACCCGGACUCAAACUGGACCCGAGAUGCACCCGCCCAGGACGAUCUCGCUGGCCGUCGCCGUCGAAUCGCACGAGAAAGGCAGUCCGAAAGCUGUAUACGCGAGGACGGGUUCGUCGUCUCGUUGAAUUUACUCCAUCUGCAUCGCUGCAUGUCUGCAUCCUGCCGCCUUUCCCCGGCCGACCACGCUGCACGCACGACUCGGCCCGCAUGCAUUGGCUGUGAGGCGGCGAUCGAAAGGCGAGACCAGAGUUGAAUUAUUAAAGGAAAGCCUUUGUAGAACUGUAGCUAGAACUUGUAUAAGAAAAGCUCAUGUACCAGCGGUAGCGUCGUCCUUCCAGGGGCACAGUGCCGACGGUAUCACAAAAAAGGGGCUCAUGUCGUUGUUAACCCCGAGGGUCAAGAUUAACGGCUGCGUCUACGUGCUUAGUGCUUGCUUACCACUAUCUUGAUGCCCGUGAUUAUGGUGGCCUCGGAUAUCUUAGGUAUUUGGCUACUUCGAUUACGACGUUCAAUUCAAGCACGCCGCAUCGGCACGAUCGAGUAUCAAAAUAUUAUUGCGCCCAUCUCUGGAUCAAACCGCAGGAUUACUAACUGCUCCAGAAAUGUACCAAUGCACUACUCUAGCUAGCUAGUAAGUAAUGUGAACGAAAUGCAUCACGGUCGGCUUCACGGCGAUAUCGUUUUCCCCCUCUUUGCCAUGCUUGCGCUCACGGGCGCGCUAGGCGCCGAGGCAUCUCGCUAUCUCAGUGUCACCGGCACGACGCACGAAGCUUUUGGGAACGGACGAACGGAGAAGGGGCCAGCUGCACAGUGGCAACAUCAAGUUUUUGUCCAGCUUCAUGCUAAGCACAUUGCACACCUCGACACUUACCAGCAGCUACCGGAUUCUCCAGGUCACGGGGGACUCGCUCUCGGCGAAGAAAAUGCACGCACAGGACGGAACAAAAAAAAAAAAUUAUUCCUUCCUCGUGCCAUGCAUUCCAGCACGGACAGGAUGAUAAGCCGGAAAGGUGAAAGCUGCUUCCGCGAGAGACUUUUUUUGUAAGCCCCGGUCGGGAGCACAAAAGCAGAAGACGAGGACAAUGCAUAGAUGGAUCAUGGAUGGAUGCAUCAUGCAUGCACGGUGUAGGGGUCGCGGUAGCUAGCGCUGCAAAAGAAAGGCGAACGGCGAAAGGCGGCAACAGGAGAGGCAAAUCACAUCGUCUCGUCGCAAUGGGCCGGUGGUGCGUGUCAUCUGCCGCUCCGAUCGUUUUAUCCAGUUCUCCGGCUCGUGGAACGCUAUAAAUACGGCACGCCGCGCGGCACGGGACAUCCACUGCAAGUGCAGCACCAAAGCCAGAGCCACAAAGAAAGAGAGGCGGCGCCGGCAAUGGAGAGGAGCGGCGGUACGCGGUGGCGGGAGAGGCUGGUGGUGCCGGCUGUUGCAGCGCUCCUCUUCGCGUCCGCGUUCGUGCAGUGCGUGGGCGCUGGCGACGGCGAGGAGGAGCCAGCGGAGCCGGGGAAGACGGCGCCGACGCUGCCGCCGGGGUGGAAAGGUGACUCCGGGUCCGGCCACGGGUCCAGCCCCGAAGGUUCUUGGAAUUACGGGUGGGGCUGGGCCGCUGGGCCUGGCGGCAAGGGCUCCGGGUUCGGGUUUGGUUACGGCGGCAGCAGAGGCGAAGGUGGCGGCGGCGGUGGAGGUGGCGGAGGCGGCGGCGGUGGUGGCGGAAGCGGCCGAGCAUAUGGUUUCGGGAGUGGAGGAUAUGGAGGCCACCCCGGAGGCUUUGGUGGUGGUGGCGGCGGAUAUCCUGGUGAUUUUGGCCAGGGUGGUGGCAGCUUUGGUGGCUCCGUUGGCGAUGAUACUGGUGGCUACAAUGGUGACGCGGGCGGCGGCGGAGACGGGGGUGGAUACGGUGGGGACUCCGGCGACGGCGAGGUCGGUGCAAACUGGAGCAAGCGCGGCCGGUUCGGCGGCGGCAAGGCACAGCAGAAGGACGGUGGCGGUAAGAACUGAAGCCGCCCGUCCUCGCCUUCCUCCGGCCAUGACACGAAACCAUGAGCUAGCAACUAAAGCAAUGCAUAUAUAAUGUGUGUAAUAUAGUAAUGUCUUCCAUGUUAUGCUAGUGCUAAGUUUAUUAACCGGAGUACGCUGCACAGUGCUCGCACGGACUUCAGUUUGAGCCUAGCAGUAUGUUCUUCACUCUUCAGGGUAUGUAACAAAUUGCCUUUUACCUGGUUGAUGCCCCCAAAUGAUGCCAAUAUAGUGGUCGACAUGGUAAAAAUUGGUAAUAUGUAUUGCUUACUUGCUUUUGCGCUCUUCAUGACGGAAUUGCAACUUCCUGAAAAAACGACCUGCAAGUCAGAAUUCCUGAAACGUCAGAUUUCUGAAGGUAACUGAGGGGCUGGAGACUAUUCAGCAUAGUAACAUAUUGUAGUCUUGGAUGGCAUGAAAACAUAGAUUCUCUGCUACUCUUGUCUGAUGCAUAUAUCUGCUAUGAUUACCUAAUGCGAAAUACAGAACUGGAGACGUGUUUUGCGUCAUGCUGGUAACUGAGCUGCCAAGAACUAGUGGACAAGCAGCCAAAACAAAUUUGCUAUAUCUGGGAUCAGAGAGUAAAAUAGUUUGGAUAUUAAUGAAUUUUUGAGCAAGUUGCAGCACACUACAUUAAAUACCUCUAUAUUUGAAGGGUUGCUUACAAGCAAUCCACGGGGCUCAACCAACUGAAGCAAAUAGCAGUAAUGCAUGAUUUCUGUGGUUAAGCCCACCAUGGUACAUUCAAAACAAAAAAGAAUGCAUGGCAGGUCCUGCCUUAGUCUCUAGGAAACCCAUCAAAACAUGUAGUUCCAAUUUUUUUUUCUGGUUUCUUUGAACGUGAUGGGCGAUUAGAUGUCUGCCCCUCCCAUUUUGUAUCUACAAUUCUACAUGGCUAGUGGUGUAAGUGGGCCGGCCUGUAAACCUGCUUAUAGGUCAAAUAAGUGGCUGCCCCCAGCCAAAAAUGUCCUAAAAUGUCCUAGAAGCCACAUACAAUAAGCAUAGAAAAGAUCAGAACUAAUUAAGCCCACUUUGUUUGAUGGCGAAUAUCAUAGAAUUACCUUGAUUAAGGGCCUGUUUGGAGGAGUUUCUCCCAGCUGCAGCUUUUCCCAGAAGCUGCUUCUGCCAGAAGCUGCCCCAAACGGUCCACAGCUUCUGAGAAUCUAUAGUUACAGAUUCUGAAAAAUGAACUAAGAAUUCAGAAUCUAGAAAAACUGGGUUUAGGAGCUUUUCCAGAUUCUCAGAAGCUGGCUACCAAGCAGCUGCUUCUCAGAAUCUAAAGCUCCCCCAAACAGGCUCUAAAAUUGGUGGGUCAUGCCAAAUUUGUAUCAGGCUAGAUUCUCUGUGCUGCCAAAAACAUUCAUUACAUGGAAUAUGAAAUGUUGCACAAUUUGCUCAUGUUACAGCAAAGCCAAUCUUUUCCUUUCGGUCUUACACAGCUUAGAAUAUAGUGUUACAAAAUCAAGGGACCGAAAUUUGUUUUAAUCAAGAGACCAAAAUCAUGGGGCGUGGAAUACCAGAACCAGCCCUAACGCCAAAAUCAUGCCAAUUUUGGUUCUCACCAAGUUUUCAGUUGGUCUCCUAGGUUUAUACCAGCUGGUUUUCUUCGUGCAAUUUGAAAUUGAAGUUUUUACUAUUAUCUAAUAGAGGAAAGCUGGUGAUUAGACAUUCACACAUGUUUCCAUGGAAAUUGUGAUUGGAUUUAUGGGUGGAGGAGAGGUGCAUGACCAAUUCCUUUUCUUACAAUGUACUGGUCAUCCUCAAUCCUAGUGUCAGUACAUUUGUGUUAUAUAACUAGUACAACCAAACCUGAACUUACAAUGUGGGACCAGUCCCUCUACUAUGACAACAUGGGCUAUUUGGAAUAUAUCCAAAUAAGCUUACGGUGUUGAAAAUGUACUUCAUGAAAAGUAAUUGAUAGCUGGUUGAGUUAAACAAUUAGCAGGCUGCAAUAUUUUGGAAGUUGUGCCCAUGUAUUUGUAGAAGUGUGGUAAACAUAAACUGUAAGAGGCAGGUAAAGCAUCUACAAACUAUGGAUAUUCAUAAAGCAUAAGUAGGUUACAAAGCACUGUAAUUGCAGAAACUGUCUUUGUAAGUUAGGGCACUUACUGUUAUCUGGUUAUCCACAUAUUUAAGUGCAAGGGCACAUCGGCAAUCCAAAUAUUUCAAAGUUAGGAGGCCAAAAAAGGUGGAUAAAAAUGCCACCUAAACAGAGGAGGUUUCAUUAUGCCAAAAGAAUCCAUACACAUCUAAUAUAACCAGCCAGUGCACUCAAUAGAUCCGCAAAAGCAUUUUUUCUUCUUGAUGUUACCAUCAGAAUCAUAAACCUCAUCUAUACCAUAGUUGUAAUCAUAUGAUAGCUCUUGAAGGGGAGGAAUGUCCUCGCCUGCAAAGAGCAUUAUAUGAGGCAUACUAAUGUUGUCAUGGUCAUAGAGAACAUUCUGUGCAAAAAGGUUGGGGGUGCAGCUAUGGUUGAUAAAUCUUGCAAGGUUACCCCAGUUCAAAGCAUCAAUGGCAAAACCAUCUUCGUCUUCAACAGGACCAUUCCGAAGAGAAGGAAUUGUCUUUGAUAUGCCCUGCCAACGAUCAUUAUAAUAAUCAUUUCCAAUCCCAAAGAGAUAUUCAUCAUUUUUUCUUUCCUGCGCCUCUUCCUCCUCCAAAAGCUCUCCUAUAUACUCACAUAGAAAACUUCCUGAUGGUAUAAAAUCCAGACUUCUUACUCCCCACCCUGUUGAUUUAGUUUUGAAAACUUGAAGCCGAAACUUGAUACCAUGCUGGCUAACUCUAUUGUGGCAAGUAGGAGGGCAACCACAAGAAGGUCCACACUCGUAGAUAAGAGGUUUUUCAUCUAUAAUAGUACCUUUAUGACUGAAAGGGAUUUCACCUCCAUUUUUCACCACACAUGCACAGUUUUGAGAAUACGAACAUCCAUUAACACAAUCACAGCCUGAUGGAAGACCUUGCUGAUGCUUUGUGGGGUACUCUAUAUUUGAAAUGUAGCGGAAUGGCAUAGGGUACUCGUUCGAUACGGAGUUAAUAGUAGAAACAGGGAUCUUCUCGAGACCCUCAGAUAUGUCUCUCAUGAAAACACCAUCAAAUGGUUCUUGUCGCUUUCUUGUUUUCCCAAAUUCUAGAAUGUCAACGUGUGCCUGUUCUGCCAUUCUUCUUAGCUGGUAAGUAGGAAUAUGCUGGUGUUCCUUCACUUUCUCCAUUCGGAAUUUCUCGAUGAAAUAUAAACCACCGUAGACAUAAUUAGUAAUUCCUUUCUGUUGACCGUUUUCACCUUCACAAGUUACAACAUGAAUAACACGUAUAGGGGUAUUAGUGUCCAUACUAUGCUUCAUUGCUAAGUCAGUGCCUUCUAUCUUCUGGUCACCUGUGAUAACAAUUGAUCCAACAUGUAACAAGGUCUCCAGAUUAUUAUUAGAUGCAGAAGCUUGUGCGUAUGACACAAUACUAACAGCUACACAUGUCCCAUCCUUCUUGAUGUAAUCAACACAAUUCAGCUGUUGGCGGUGGAGGCCAACAACGAAAGUCUCUAAACUAGAGUUGAAUGUGUCGCCUAUCUGAACUCCAGGCACGUUUCCCACAUAUCUCCUGUCAUCAUCUACAACACAUAGCCUCUCUCUGAACAUUUUGAAAGCUGCAAGAUCAGGCCUCAGACCUUUCCCCCUUUCUCUCCACUUGGCUUGUUCUUCCUGCAAGAGUUUCCUGUAAAUUAUCCGAAACUCCUGCAAAGACACCAAGAUAUUUUCUCUGGUAGUAGAUACCCUCUUAUUCUUUGGUAUUACUUGGCAAUGACAAUAUCUGUUAACCUUCAUCUUCUUCGAUACAGAACCUGUCUGUUUUCCAACUUUCACCGAGGAAUGGUCACUGGUGACAGAAACUUUUUCACGAGAGUCAUUACGCCCUGCUGCAGAUGCACAUUGCUUCCCACUAACCCUGAACUUGGAUUCUGUAAUUUCUGGAGGUGCAUGAGAUCCAGAUCCAUCACCCAGGCCAGAACCAUGUGACCACGACCGCUUGAACCCAACCUGGAAUCUCCAUGGCACCACUACCUUCUGCCCCUUGCGGCAACCCGUCACACUGCUGCCCCUCUCCAAUCCGCCGUCUCCACCGCCUCCGUCGCUCUCCGACCCCGGGAUCCCGAUCCCCUCCGCAAUACCCCCGCCGUUACUCUCAGGAGUCCCUGAACCACGCCGCCUCGCACCGAACCGAUCACCCCCCUCGAGCUGCCCCGCCACGAAGCCGCGCUGGAACCGCCACCGCGCGACCGCCUUGUGCUGGCCCCGGCCGUCCAGAUCGCCUCCGCUCUCCAUCCGAAGGGCGCCUCUCAGCGCCGUCCCCGACCCCGCCGAGGUCGGACCACCAAAACCGUCGUCGUCGCUAGAGGGACCUACAGGAGUCGAGCGUGAGGUAAAAUCGAGGGUGGGAGAGGGUAUUGCGGAAGGAGGGAGAGCGGAGGGGGCCAGCUCCAGCCGGCGGCCAUGGCGUACCUGGCGGCGGCGGCGGCGGAGAGCGCGAGACCAGGCAUGGUGGACACUGACAGGACGCCGCCACGACGAUGGGCUCUCCUGUGAUGUGGGAGAGGUCCGCGCCGUAAGAUCGCGGAUGGACGCGGAUUGCGGGGUUACGUUUUUGCCCGUAGCGGGGAGUCGGAUCCGUCCAGUCCGGCGGCAAGCCACUUGGAAAGUAGUCGUUAGAGAAAACAAAAUGUUAAAAUUACCCUUGUUAAACCUUGUGUUGUUGUAUCGUAACAUUCUCCUCCUAGUCUAAUAAAUUUGGUUGUGACUUCGUCAUACUCCCUCUGUAAAAAAAAAAACGAAUUCUCUGGUUUCCGUGUCCAAUGUUUGACCAACCGUCUUAUUUGAAAAAUUUUCAGAAAAUUAGAAAAAAAUUAGUCACACGUAAAGUACUAUUCAUGAUUUAUCAUCUAAUAAAAAAAUCAAUCGCAAAAAAUUGAAUAAGAUGAAGAAUCAAAAAUUGAAGGUAAAAAAUAAAAAAUUGGUUUAUUUUGGGACGGAGGGAGUACACCCGAAGAAAAAUUAGUUAGUGAGAAUGUGGGUAUGUUUUCUAAUCGAGAAAAUUUAACAAAUAUCACGGAUAAACACUCAAUUCUAAGAAAUAUCAUCGACGAGUGCGAGUUCUACAAAAUGUUAUCAUACAAAUGAAUUUAUCUAAGAAAUGUCAUCUUCAUAAGGGUUUCGUGAGUAUUUUUUCAUUAAGUGCUAUAAUAUGAACAGUGUAUUUAACGGUAGAAAUGGAUGGAACUCUAACGGCGAAGAUAUUUUUCAGAUAAAUUCGUUUGUACGAUGAUAUUUCUUAGAACUCUCACUCGUCAGUGGUAUUUCUUGGACUUACAUGCUUGUCAAUGACAUUUUUUAGAUUUUUUCUUUCUAAAUUGCUCUCUGGCAUGUUUUUGUAGAAGAAAAUCUAUAAGAAAUUUUAUUUUAAAGCAAUCAAAUAAAUUCACUUUUUAAAGUUUGCAUCAUCUUAUGUGCUAAUGAUCCACUGCGUCUGAUAAAUCCUAAUUAUCUUAACCCUGUUUGGAACAAAGAAACAAAAAGCACAUAAUAGGAAAAAAAAUACAGGAAUAUUGUUGAGUGUAAAGCUGAAAUUGUGGAAUACAAAUAUAUCAAUUGUACAUUUUUUGUGUUUGUCACGUGAAUGGGUGAAAUAGAGAGAUAGUACACACACAAGCAGCAAACUGAAGGAAAAGUACCUUCCAUUUUUGAAGCCCAUUUUUUUGUUUCCUUUGGAAAUACAGGAAUUCUCCCCUUUCCUUUAGAAUUUGAGAUUCUCUUUCCUUUGUUCUAAACAGAGCACUAUGGAAAAAAUCCAUAGGAAAUCAAACCUUAUCAUUCCUUUAAAAUUUCUUUGAUCCAAAUCUGCCCUUGAAGACUAUAGGGUAUAGACGAUGAGAGAAAUGGGAUGAUCCCGUCAAUAGGCAAAGGGUAUAGACGAUGAGAGAAAUAAUUUACCCUAAGACUAUAGGGUACUGCUCCAUCCCAAAAUAUAAGUUAACAUGAAUUAUGGUUGAGAAAAAAAUACUAUAGUAUAUUUUAAUAAUGAGAAAUGAAUAAGAGUAGGAAGAUAGGUUAGGGAUAAAAUGGAAAAAAUCUUAAAUACAAAGUGUAGUGCUGUGAAUAGUGAUAGAAAUGUUUGUAUUUUAGGAUAAAAUCAAAAUGCUAAAAAUGUUUAUAGUAGAAAUAAAAUUUCCUCCGAUUUUGCAUUCUCCUAACUGAGGCCCUAUUUGGAUUGAGUAAUUUCGAGGCAAUAGUGAAGGAUCUGAUUCCUUUUGAACAAUUUCACGGUUGCACCGUUUGGAUUUUGGAACAAAGGAAUUUUGAAUAAUAUUCCUUAUGUUUGGGUUCCUAUCGUGCAGUUCUCCUACUCUUUCACAAGAAAACAUAACUCCAUGAAACGUGAUGGAAAGUUUUUGGUAUCGAGGUAUCGACGAGGGAGUAGUGUUGGUGUACUCCAUCCGUUCUUAAAAAAAACUCAAUGUAAGAGAGAAAGAGGAUAUAACAUUUUUUAAUACAGUGAAUCUGAACAAUCUUACAAUGGAGUGGAGAGUAAAAAUUCCUUUAUACCAAACUAGCCAUGAAUGAAUCUUUGGUUGAACAAUUUUGGUAUAAGUUAUUAUCAAUCGUUAUUGUAGAUCGUCCUGGUAAACUAUUAGUAGCCGAGCAUCAUGGUGCAUGCACAUAUAACUCACAAAUGAUUGUUUUCAGAACAAUUUAAGCUAGCGAAACAAAAAAAUUAUGGUUUGGACCUAAUCUAGCUGAGUGCAUGCAACUUUAACUUGCAACAAAGAAAAUUUGUGGCUACUUAGCGGCUUAGCGCGUGAGCUCUAGUUAAUUAUCUCGCUCGCGGCCCGGGCAUGAGACGGAGUUGUUAACACUAACUACUAUCAUUACCAUUUUAAUUAUUUUUAAUUAAAACUAAUUAAAUGAUAAAUUGAGUUGAAGUCUUUAAAUUUGAGUUGAAAGUUUUGAAAAUUGAGUUAAAAGUUCCAAAUAAUUGCAAUUGAAAGUUUUGAUUUUGAAUAUUUUCAAAUUUGAACUGAAAAAUUUGAAAUUUGAAUUUGACACAAAAGUUUUGAAUUUGAGGUUAAAAGUUUCAAAUUAAUUUGAGGUUGAAUGUUUUAAAUUGGACUAAAAAUUUUUGAAUAGGGGGUUAAAACUUUUCAGGUUUUAAACACUUGGUAUCCCAUUUCACGAUAGAGGAGGAAAAGGUUAAAAGUUUCGGGUGCACGCAUGAUAAACAAAGUUACACAUUGGCAGUCUCAAAAGACACGCGUUCUUAGUGCGUGCCCAUUAGUCGGAGCGGAAGAUAGAUUCUUGAAUUGAGGGACACAAUUAACCUAUAUCAACAUAUCUCCGGGCAAUCACAAUGCAAUUAUUAGGAUAGUGUCUCUAGAAUUAAAUAAACUGUCAUAUAUGAUAAAAGAUGACGUAACAGGUUAGUCAAUGAAGAAAGAGAAGGGAACCAUAUCUUGUAUGAGACAUGAUAUGACAUGACGAGAGAUGUGAAUAACAUUAAAUUCAAAUGUAAAAUAAUAGUAUUUGUAUUGUAAGAUUGAUGUCUAAUACUAAUUUUUUAUGACAUAAAAGGUAUACAAAUCAUACCUUGUGUCUUGGAUUAGGAUUGCUCUCACAAGCACAAGAUAGAUUCUUCACAAGAAGUUUUGUUUUAGUGGGCCUAUACGUGGCUAUAGAAUUACAUUCUCUAAAUGUAGAAUAGACUGUACUUCUUCUGUAAGAAAAAAUAGAUUCAUAUAAUCCUAAUGCAACAUUAAUAGAGAGUAAAAAAAUACUUAAUGCUCUUUAGAGCAUUCACAAUACAAAUGUAAUAGUGUCAACUAAAUAAAUAAUAAAGAGAAGAAAACUAGUACAUGAUGAGGCAUGAUCGCUAUACACAAUCCAAUACAUAAUAAGACUAAUAAUAUCGAAUUCCAAUAUUAAUUAGUCGUGUUUAUAUUAAAAGAGUAGUUGCUAGUUGUCUUCGUAACAUAUAGGAUAUGAAAAUCAUAACUUUUGUCAUACACUGUGAUUGCCCUUAUAAAUAUAAAAGUAAUAUUGAUUGGUUGCAAUCACCUUUAUUAAUAUAAAAGUAAUAUUGGUAGAUGGUUAUGUACAUGUUGUUGAACAUAUAAUUUUUUUUUGAUUUGUAGUCCAACAAUUGAUAAGAAUACAGAAGUUAAUUUAUUUAGGGAUAAACUUUAAUCUCUACAAGUUAGAUUUAUUUUCAGACGGAAGAAUUGUUCAGGUGCUUUGCACACUUGACAUCAAGCAGUGGAUACAGAUCAUGAGCCAUGACCAUGCUUUUCUUUUAUGCGAGCAUGAACAAAUUCACUAGUCAUAUUUCGUUUCCCUCCAGCACCCAAGAUUUCGGUGCAUGUAAUAAUUAUUGCGAUAGGAUCUUGGUGCGCCCUACCGCCCAUUGCUUACCAUCACAUCUCUCGCCUUUCAGUAGUGGUUGGCGCAUCUACUGCACCCAGUAUUUCAGUGAGACACACACACAUCACAAAGCCAACCCGAGUUAGCUUUGUGUGGUCGACUACUUUUCGGCAGAGAUUGAGGAUUACUUUUGCCAUCAAAAUUUAUAUAGGAAUCGCAGAAUAUAACUGCUGCUCGUAGUACAGACACACACCUAGUUUUUCACAGAUCAUCUACACACUACACCAAACAAAAACAACGGAAGAGUGCACACAGCAAGAAUGCACUGCUGGCUACUGACUUGCUUAGUUGCUUGCUGCAGCAUCAUGCAAGAUUGGGAGUACUAGCUAGCAGUCUAAACUAAAUCGAAGCAGCUGCCACUAACUAAUGCAGCAUAUAAGCUAAGAAAAACACCAAUGCAGCACAUGAUAUAUAGGAUCGAUCGAUCGAUCGACACUAGCUAGCUAGCUUGCUUCCAUGGGCGCCGCUUCACGCAGAGAGCUGCUGCCGGCGUCGUCCUCGGACAGGCAGCAGGAGUGCAGCCUCGGCGGCGCGGCGGGGGCGGCGGGGCGGGGGGGCCCCCCGCNNNNNNNNNNNNNNNNNNNNNNNNNNNNNNNNNNNNNNNNNNNNNNNNNNNNNNNNNNNNNNNNNNNNNNNNNNNNNNGAGGUAGAGGAACGCCACCUUCGGGGCCGCGGCGGGGGCGGCAGCCGGAGGAGCCCCCGCGCCGCCGCUGAUGAGCAUCUCGGACUGGAGCACGGCGCAGUAGUCGCCGAACGUCUCCGGCGUCACGUUCAGGUCGAAGCCGAGGCCGAACAGGAAGUCCACCUCGAGGUAGUUCAUCUCCGCCAGGCUGAUGCCCCCGACCUUGGCGAAGUAGGCGUUGUUGUAGCAUCUGUGCAUACACAGAUCGAUCGAUCAUGUUAAAGGUGAAAACUAGCUAAUCAUCCGUUCCUUUUCAGCCUAACCUUUUCAAAGAUAAACAAAAAAAAGGGACAGUAUAUAUCACUGCAUUUCCACACUGUAUAUUGCCUAUAUGCUCCGUCCAUUCCUUCACCUCGUUUAUGAUUGCCCUCCAAUGAUUGACGGCACGCACAAUCGCCAGUAGCAUCGAAGGGAUCAAGCGACCAAACAAAUCACAACCAGAAUCACCGAAUUGGCACCCGGCUCGUUCAGGAGGGAGGCCAAGUUGGCCAAUUAAGUAUUUGUCACAGUGUCACUCUUGGCCAAAAGAUAGUUAGAAAGAGAUGCUCCUGAUGAGCUCUGACAUGGGGAAAUUGAGUCGCAAGCAUCAGCACAAGGCAAGUUGCCAGUCUCAAUCCCCCACAACUGGCACUGAAUUAAAUUCCAAACAAAAAGGCGAGGGGCCGGAGGCAGGGUGGAAAUUCUGGUUUAUGUUCUUGGGUCCACGGUGGAUGUGUGUGGUUGGACGCAAGGAACAGUGAAACCACCUCAAUUUUUUUUCCUGCUUUGCUGGACAAGCAUAAUUCUGUCCACGUACUGCCUUUGUUUGCAAGGACAAAUCACUUGGGGUACCCGUUGCAAGGUAGUAGUUUUCACAGCGAAACAUAACCAAGUGUGGCUUCUUUGGUGCAUGAUUACUGCAAGAGGCUUUUGAAUUGAGGUGUGCUUCUGUAUUGCCUCAAGAAAAAAGAAGAAACUGUGUACGAAAAUAAUGCGAAACGUAAGCACCGACAGUUACUAGCAGGUGGUUGCUGUAAGACAAUAGGAUUCACAGAAGUAACAAUUUUGGAAGAUUCUCUUUACCAGCCAUUUCAGGACUGUUAAAAUGGGGGCUCUUUUGGAAUAUUACAUUGCAAUUGUUAUUGUGAGGUGAAUUGUAAUUUGUAAAAACAGCACAAUAUCUGAAGUUGGGACUGGAAUGAUGCUGGAGUUACUUCGAAGACACUCCCAACUUAUUCCUAGCUGGCAGUGUCUCAAACAAGGGAAGUCUGUGAAAAUAACAGGCCUAUGUCGAGUAGGAAUAAAGCACUUUGUCACAGCUCACUACAAGCAGAAGAAACAAAGCGGUUGAACUGAAAUAAUCUUACUCUAGGUUGAACCCAAAGCACGGUACAAAAUUCAGCUGGUUUAGCAAAUAUCCGAUCGGCAAUUCACCACUCGGCUGUUGAAAUUUAGUUUUCUGUUGAAUAUUCACAAACUGAGAUUCAACAUGCCAGGAACAGAGUGAGUUCUAUUCCAAGUUCUUUUUUUUUCGACGAUAAAGUUCAAACAGAGUUAAUUUGCAUGUUUCCCAUUAGAUAUUCCAAGAACUAAUAAAGAAGAUGAUCUUGUUACGUGUAACUGCACCUACAUAUUAGCUGGUCAAAAUCGUUCUGUUCCUUGAUCAUGAGACCAUACGCACGAAGAGUAAGCAGCUUUGCAGAGAAACUCACAUGUCAUCCAUGAACUUGACGGCGGAGAGCACGGCGGUGAUGAGGAGCCGGUGCACGCUGUAGGAGUCGACGGCGAGCGCGAGGCAUCGGCCGCGGCGCAGGAGCCGGUCGAGGUAGAUGUAGGCGACGACGUAGCACGCCGGGCUGCACCCGGCGAACCGCGCGAUGCGCGCCGCGUACGCGCGAACCGAGAUGCCGGGCUUGGUCGUCGCCCGGAACGCCGACGCCGGCGCGGCGGCCGGCUCCUCGGGCGCNNNNNNNNNNNNNNNNNNNNNNNNNNNNNNNNNNNNNNNNNCCAGCCCCGUGCCCGUGCCCUCGCCCUCGGCCAUGGCUUUCCCUCGCCUCUGCACUCUGCAGGGGCGCGUUGGCGCCGCACGUGCUGACCCUCAGAGCUGAGCAGCAGCCGGGGAGGGAGAGAGAGAGCAUGGAAUCCGUUAUAUGGAACGGGCCGGCGCAGGAAUCGGGUGUCCAUCACAUACCAAGAAAUGUUUCGUUGGUCUAAUCCAUUGUUUCAAAUUGUCAUUAAGAAAAAGUGUCUCAUCUUUUUAUUUUUAUUAUGCUUAUAAGCCAUAAUUUAAUUUUCAACUUUAAAUUUAAAGUUAACUUUAGCCUUUUUCUUAGUUUGUUUUUAGUGUCUACUUUUAAAUUACUAAAAACACGCAUAUAACUUUUUUAUUUAUAAAUUGUUUUUUUUCGAAUCUGAAAAAGCCAAACGAGAACCUAAAAAAAUUCCAUAGGAUUGGAAUCCUAUAAAAUCCAUAACUAUUCCUUCAAACCAAAGGAAGCUUCUUUUUCUUAAAAGAAAAUCAAAAUAUAGUUUUUGCCCUUACAUAAUAGGAGUAUGAAACAAAAUAUAUAUACCUAUCUAACUAUUACUCCAUCCAAUUUUUUAUUUGAUACCGUUGGCUUUUAAGUCUAUAUUGGACAUUUCAUGGCAUAAAAAAAUAUAUAAUUAUUUAUUAUAUUAUUAUGAUUUUAUUUAUUACUUAAAUACAUUUAAAGAGUGACUUAAAUGUUUGUAUAUUUGCACAAAAAAUGAAUAAGACAAAUGGUCAGAUCUAAAAGUCAAUUGGAUGGAGUAUAUUACAAAUACAACUUGAAAGGUCACCGUAUUCAUUUUGAAGGCUAGAAAUUACCGCAUUGAUUCAAGAAAAGACAAAAUAUGUUAACCAUUAGAUUAUGAUGGGUCCAUAUUAUAACAAUAUAGAAUCAAUAACUCCAUACAAAAUGCAAUUAUAUUUUUAGAUAGAAAUAUAGAAGUAAAAGUUGUAUAAGAAAUCCAAACAGAUAGAAACAUAAUCUAAUAGUUGUAUAUGAAAUUCAAACCUUAUAUAGUUCUAGCUUUUUUGAGAAAAUGAAAAUUGACUUAUUUGCAAACAAAAAUAAAUCAUGGGUAAAACUUUUAUACACGUAUGCAUAGCGAUUUAAAAUCAAAUGAUGUAAAAUAAAUUGCAAUGAAAAACCACAAAUUAUACUCCAAAAUCAAGUUUUAAAAUACAAAUUUUGGCUUAUAAACAGUUGCAAAAACAAAACAAUAGGAGUAUGAUAGUUUUAUAUGAAAUAUAAAUACAAUCAUCAUCACAGGAUUAUGGUGGAUCCAGACUAUAAUAGUAUAUAUUGAGCGAUAUAAGGUGCAUUUGGUUCACGAGCAAUGUUCGAUAGAAAGGAUAUGGUGAUCUAUAUUUUGUUGGAUAUAAUAAUGCAAGAUAUAAUAAUGCAAGUUAGUUGUUUGGUUGGGUGAUGGGAUGAAUCAAUUUUUGUUUGGUUGGGGUAAAGGGUGGAUGGAGUAAAAAUAAUAGAUUAUUAAUCCAUAAAAUUAUACUUAUUAUCACUAAUCCUAUAAUAAUUAGUACUAAUUAACAAUAAAAUAUACUAAUUAUUCAUCGUUAACAGUAAUCUUAAAAUAAUAAUCACUAAUUAACACAAAAAUAUACUAAUUGUCACUAAUUAUUUACUAAUAAUCCUUGUUAGCAACGGUGGAUGGUCCAUCUAGUCAAAUUAGCCAGAUUCAUUUAUCCAACUAUUUGAUAAAUCUUCCUUCGAUGAACACCAUAUUCAUCCCUUAUCUGUGAACCAAACACUACCAAAAACCCGGUGGCCAUAUGCCAUCCACCAUAUCUUUUGAACCAAACACACAAAUAGUUAUAUACAAAUAUAAUUAUAUCUACCGAGAAAUAGAAGUUAAGCAAGCUAGAAUUUAAGUGUUGUAUAUGAAAUAAAAACCUAUAUAAAUAAAAUCUAAGAGUUGUAUACGAAAUCCAAACAUUACAAGAAUAUGACAUAGUAGCUAAAAAAAUUAUAUGAAUUCCAAACAUACUUUUACAUAUAGUGAUAGCUAUAGAAAUAAAAUUGAAGUGUAUAUAUUAAAUCUAACUUUACAUCAAUUUUUUAGCUCCGUAUAAAGUAUAUGCGGCAAUUCCCUUUACAACUUGAAAAGAUGCUACAAUGUUCGCUCUAGAGACUAUAAUUUAUCACAUUAUUCUAAGAAAAAGAAAAAAAAGACCUUCACCAUUAUAUCAAGAUGGAUUCAGAUUAUAACACUAUAUACAUAUAUAGUUGUAUAUAAAAUAUCAAUAACAGUAGAAGCUAAAGGUUGUAAAUGAUAGGUCCGUGAAAAAAUGUGUGCAAUCCCCUGGGUUCGUUAAAUAUGCGUUUUUUUCCAUCGAAUCUGUAAAAACAUCCUGCUUGCGAGAAAAGUUUAGAAAGUUCCUGCUUCACCAAUUGCUAUAACAGCAAUCCACCGAGUAUCGCCAUUAGCGGUGAUGAUAAGGCUUUUUGCCCACAAAGGGGGGGGGGAGACGGUCUUCUUGGUCAGGGUGUGGCGACAUUACAUGUUGCCACAUGGGUGUGUGUCAGCGUAGCUGACAACCAGACCAUUGUAUCUAUUUUGUGGUGACGACGAUGAUACGCCACUCGACCUAGUUCUGCUGUAAUUUUUGCAAAUUAUUUCUUGGACAUCUUAAUAUUUAAAAAAAAUAUAAAUAUAUAGCCACAUAUAAAAUCAAAUUAAGAUGAAUACUCUCAUAGAAAAAUGGACGACAUAUUUCAUAAAAAUGUAUUUGUAUUCAUUUUAGGUAAUAUUAUAUAUGUCUUUAAAAAGUUAGUGGCUGUGACAAACUCUACCACCUCACCUACUCUCAUUUUUAUUUUCAAAAAUUAUUCUUGAACUUUUUAAUAUUAAAAACAAUCUAAUCUAAUCUAAAUGUAUAGCCACAUAUAAAAAAUAAACGUAAGGUGAAUAUUCCCAUAGAAAAAUAUGUGCAACAUAUUUCAUUGAAAAUAUAUUAUAGUUACUAUACGCAAUAUUAUGUUUAUGUUUAUUUUAUCUAUAGAAAAGCAAGUACAUUUAAAUAGUGUUCGCAAAAAUUUUCAGAAGCGAAAUACUUCUUUUUUUAAUCCAUAUCUUUCUAUAGUGUAUAUUGUAUAGUUCUAUAGAAAUAUCUAGUACUCCAAUUCGUAUUCUUUUUAAUAAUGAAUUAAAAAUUAAAUCACUUUUGUGUCUACUCUCCCCUUCUCCUCAAAACACGCGUAAUAUCUGGGAAAUGAACAUGCACAUCAGGAUUUCCUCCGGUGUAUUCUACUGGUAGUUUUUACACUACCAAUAUAACUAAUCUCAGCCAUUAAUUAAAAAUAAUAUUUUUAUACUUUGUUAAUUAAUUGAUUAGUUGUAUUUUUUUAAUUUUGUUGUCAAUAAAGAUCACAAUAAAAAUGACAAUAUUGCUCCUUUAAAUUUUUACUGCACCUAAUAUUGUUGCUAGUAUAAUUUAAUCGCGGUUAUCCUAUAAAAAUAUAUGAACGAUAUUGAUUAAAUUAUAUUAUCAGUAGAAUACAUCAAACAGAACCUGCACAUCAAAUAUGUGUAGAUUUAUACUAAUGAAUUGCGUUUCUUUACGGAUGGGUGCAUGGGAAGGCUGGACACGCUCAUCCUAUAGCUUGUGAAGUUGUGAUCAAGCAAACAAUAUAUAUAAAAAAAUACUACUCCUGGUAGUACUUUAGUCAAUGAGCUGUGCACACAAAUUUUCUAAUGUAGCAAGUCUAAAACUAAAUUAUAAUAACCUCGGCUAAACAAGGUUUGAAUUCUCGCCAGCCAAAGUAUGACAAACGUGGUCUGAAUAGUGCUGUAACGCCAUCAUUUUUUCCUUUUAGAAAGACUAAUUAGCUUCUUGGGUACAUCUGUUUUGUCUAUUUUGCCUUAGAAGUUAGAAUUGUGUUAUAUAAGACAGAUUUCAAAUAAUUAUAUGAUGUAGAUUUUGGAUACCAAACAUAUAGUAUUCUAUUUAAAAAUUUACAUGGACAAUCAUAUCAUCAACAACUUUGGAUAUAUGCACGAUUCACAAUGAAUACAUAUACAUGCAAAUGACGCAAUAUUUCAUAAAAAUAAAAAAUAACUAGCGAUUUUUUCUUGCAAUUUUGCAUGGAAUUAGAAUUUUAAAGCAUAAUCAGAUUAGAUGAAAUUUAUCCUUAUUUACCAAAGUUGACGAUAUUCUUUACUUGCUCAAUAUUCUCUUAAUGACAUGUACAUCAAAGCCCCACGAGGCCACGAAGUUAGUGACUUAGGCCACGUUCGGAGAGCCCCAAAAGUUAACUUAUCUUCCUCAUUGCGCACGCUUCUCGAACUGCUAAACGGUAUAUUUUUUAUGAAAAUUUUCUAUAGAAAAGUUAUUUUAAAAAAAUCAUAUUAAUCUAUUUUAUAUUUUUAAUAAAAUAAUUAAUUUAUCAUGUACUAAUAUAUUACUAGUUUUUUUUACUGGGUAAGUUAACUUAUCAACACCACGUACCGAACAAGGCCUUAGUGGGAUAUUAAGAGUGCUAUACAAAUUUUCCCUCUGUUUACACAAAUACAAUUGUACUUUAUCAACAGUUAACGUGAUAACCAAUGCGUGUACAUUAUCCUUAUUUCUUUUAAUUAAUGUGAUAACUUUUAGGCUCUCUAAAGUAAUGGCUCGUUAAUUUUCUGACAAAUAAAUGGAUUGAAACAUGACGGUUACAUAGAUGUGACACAUUAAUCUCUGUAAAAUUGACAAAAGAAAAAAGAGGGAGGGGGAGGAGCAGUGCACACGAACAUCAUGUUGGUGCAUUGUUAAUCAGCAGUCCAAGUUGCUUAUCGUGUUGCAUAUAAUCUUGUCUGUUUCUUUUAUGCAACCCCCCAACGACUGUUAGGCUGAUGUUUACGGUAACGUGAAAGGCGCUUUUUCUUGACAAGAAAGAAAAAA